rnacentral:rRNA from 1 species
GUGGGGAAUAUUGGACAAUGGGCGCAAGCCUGAUCCAGCCAUGCCGCGUGAGUGAUGAAGGCCUUAGGGUUGUAAAGCUCUUUUAUCCGGGACGAUAAUGACGGUACCGGAGGAAUAAGCCCCGGCUAACUUCGUGCCAGCAGCCGCGGUAAUACGAAGGGGGCUAGCGUUGCUCGGAAUCACUGGGCGUAAAGGGCGCGUAGGCGGCGUUUUAAGUCGGGGGUGAAAGCCUGUGGCUCAACCACAGAAUGGCCUUCGAUACUGGGACGCUUGAGUAUGGUAGAGGUUGGUGGAACUGCGAGUGUAGAGGUGAAAUUCGUAGAUAUUCGCAAGAACACCGGUGGCGAAGGCGGCCAACUGGACCAUCACUGACGCUGAGGCGCGAAAGCGUGGGGAGCAAACAGGAUUAGAUACCCGUGUAGUCC